GACGAACGCUGGCGGCGUGCUUAACACAUUCAAGUCGAACGAUGAAGCCGGAGCUUGCUCUGGUGAAUUAGUGGCGAACGGGUGAGUAACACGUGAGUAACCUGCCCUUGACUCUGGGAUAACUGCGGGAAACUGUAGCUAACACCGGAUACGACCCUCGGAGGCAGCUGCUGGGGGUGGAAAGAAUUUCGGUGAAGGAUGUACUCGCGGCCUAUCAGCUAGUUGGUGAGGUAAAGGCUCACCAAGGGGACGACGGGUAGCCGGCCUGAGAGGGUGACCGGCCACACUGGGACUGAGACACGGCCCAGACUCCUACGGGAGGCAGCAGUGGGGAGUAUUGCACAAUGGGCGCAAGCCUGAUGCAGCAACGCCGCGUGAGAGAAGACGGCCUUCGGGUUGUAAACCUCUUUUAGCAGAGAAGAAGCGAAAGUGACGGUACCUGCAGAAAAAGCACCGGCUAACUACGUGCCAGCAGCCGCAGUAA
rnacentral:rRNA from 1 species